rnacentral:rRNA from 1 species
UGGGGAAUUUUGGACAAUGGGCGCAAGCCUGAUCCAGCAAUGCCGCGUGCAGGAUGAAGGCCUUCGGGUUGUAAACUGCUUUUGUACGGAACGAAACGGCUCUGUCUAAUACAUGGGGCUAAUGACGGUACCGUAAGAAUAAGCACCGGCUAACUACGUGCCAGCAGCCGCGGUAAUACGUAGGGUGCAAGCGUUAAUCGGAAUUACUGGGCGUAAAGCGUGCGCAGGCGGUUAUGUAAGACAGAGGUGAAAUCCCCGGGCUCAACCUGGGAACUGCCUUUGUGACUGCAUGGCUAGAGUGCGGCAGAGGGGGAUGGAAUUCCGCGUGUAGCAGUGAAAUGCGUAGAGAUGUGGAGGAAUACCGAUGGCGAAGGCAGCCCCCUGGGUUAGUACUGACGCUCAUGCACGAAAGCGUGGGGAGCAAACA